ACGAAAAAUAACGAUACGGGACUCAUCCGAGGCCCCGUAAUCGGAAUGAGUACACUCUAAACCCUUUAACGAGGAUCAAUUGGAGGGCAAGCCUGGUGCCAGCAGCCGCGGUAAUUCCAGCUCCAAUAGCGUAUAUUAAAGUUGUUGCGGUUAAAAAGCUCGUAGUCGAAUUUGUGUCCCGCGCCGCCGGUUCAUCGCUCGCGGUGUCAACUGGCGUGUUCGCGGGACGUCCUGCCGGUGGGCUUAGCCCGUUCGGGCGGCGCCCAAUCUCAAUCCCACCGCGGUGCUCUUCGCUGAGUGUCGGGGCGGGCCGGCACGUUUACUUUGAACAAAUUAGAGUGCUUAAAGCAGGCUAAAACAUCGCCUGAAUACUGUGUGCAUGGAAUAAUGGAAUAGGACCUCGGUUCUAUUUUGUUGGUUUUCGGAACCCCGAGGUAAUGAUUAAUAGGAACGGAUGGGGGCAUUCGUAUUGCGACGUUAGAGGUGAAAUUCUUGGAUCGUCGCAAGACGGACAGAAGCGAAAGCAUUUGCCAAAAACGUUUUCAUUGAUCAAGAACGAAAGUUAGAGGUUCGAAGGCGAUCAGAUACCGCCCUAGUUCUAACCAUAAACGAUGCCAGCUAGCGAUCCGCCGACGUUCCUCCGAUGACUCGGCGGGCAGCUUCCGGGAAACCAAAGCUUUUGGGUUCCGGGGGAAGUAUGGUUGCAAAGCUGAAACUUAAAGGAAUUGACGGAAGGGCACCACCAGGAGUGGAGCCUGCGGCUUAAUUUGACUCAACACGGGAAACCUCACCAGGCCCGGACACCGGAAGGAUUGACAGAUUGAGAGC
rnacentral:rRNA from 1 species